GAUGAACGCUGGCGGCGUGCUUAACACAUGCAAGUCGAACGGAGAUUAUAAGUGAGCGUAAGUAGCUUGCUAUGAACAAUCAGUUAUAAUCUUAGUGGCGGACGGGUGAGUAACGCGUGGAUAACCUGCCUUGUACCGGGGGAUAACACUUAGAAAUAGGUGCUAAUACCGCAUAAGCGCACAGGACCGCAUGGUCUAGUGUGAAAAACUCCGGUGGUACAAGAUGGAUCCGCGUCUGAUUAGCUAGUUGGCGGGGUAACGGCCCACCAAGGCAACGAUCAGUAGCCGGCUUGAGAGAGUGAACGGCCACAUUGGGACUGAGACACGGCCCAAACUCCUACGGGUGGCUG
rnacentral:rRNA from 1 species